rnacentral:rRNA from 1 species
UACAGAGGCCUCUAGCGUUAGGCGGAAUCACUGGGCUUAAAGCGUGUGUAGGCGGAUCGUUAAGUGUCUUGUGAAAUCCCACGGCUCACCCGUGGAACUGCUGGGCAUACUGGCGAUCUCGGGCCAUUCAGGGGCAACUGGAACAAGCGGUGGAGCGGUGAAAUGCGUAGAUAUCCGGAGGAACACCGGUGGCGAAGGCGGCUUCCUGGACCGAUACUGACGCUGAGGCGCGAAAGCUAGGGGAGCAAACGGG